rnacentral:rRNA from 1 species
CAGAGGGGGAUCACGUUUGGAAACGAACGCUAAUACCGCAUGAUAUUAUUGGGCAGCAUUGCCUGAUAUUCAAAGGAGCUAUCCGCUGAAAGAUGGGCUCGCGUCCGAUUAGGUAGUUGGCGGGGUAACGGCCCACCAAGCCGACGAUCGGUAGCCGGACUGAGAGGUUGGACGGCCACAUUGGGACUGAGACACGGCCCAGACUCCUACGGGAGGCAGCAGUGAGGGAUAUUGGUCGAUGGGGGAAACCCUGAACCAGCAACGCCGCGUGAGGGAAGACGGUUUUCGGAUUGUAAACCUCUGUCCUCUGUGAAGAUGAUGACGGUAGCAGAGGAGGAAGCUCCGGCUAACUACGUGCCAGCAGCCGCGGUAAUACGUAGGGAGCAAGCGUUGUCCGGAUUUACUGGGUGUAAAGGGUGCGUAGGCGGCUUUGCAAGUCAGAAGUGAAAUCUAUGGGCUUAACCCAUAAACUGCUUUUGAAACUGCAGGGCUUGAGUGAAGUAGAGGUAGGCGGAAUUCCCGGUGUAGCGGUGAAAUGCGUAGAGAUCGGGAGGAACACCAGUGGCGAAGGCGGCCUACUGGGCUUUAACUGACGCUGAGGCACGAAAGCGUGGGUAGCAAACAGGAUUAGAUACCCUGGUAGUCCACGCUGUAAACGA